rnacentral:lncRNA from 1 species
GUCCUUACAGGCCAACAGUGGCUGCUCUCCCAAGGUGUUCCUUCUGGGCAAGUGGAGAGACACAGCCCCAGCAAAGAAGCCCGUGUGCUGCCUCUAGAGCCACUGGCCUCAUUUGAAUCUUCCUGAGUCUUUGAGGAUCUGGGAAGAACAUCAUCACCCCAUCUGCCCCACGAUGAUGGCCAUCCUGCGGUGAGGGUGGCUGGGGAACUGUCCCCUACCCUGCAUGGUGGGUGUGGGGGAAGGUCGGUCUGACCUGCAGCCAUCCACCUGCACCUAGACAUUCUCACCUGCUGGCUAACUCUUUACUUUUCUAGGACUGUUCCAGAAUCCCCGGGAAAGUGUGGGAAACAUUGGGCUCCACAAUCUCUGUGGACUAAUCUCAGGAUCUUCAUCCAUCAAAUGGGGGCAGCCCACCUGGCCUCCACUUGCUCCCUCCUGCGAGCGCAGAUGUGAUGACACUCCAGGGCAGCCAGGGCAGCAGCCGCUUCCCUGCCGUCUCCACAAGGACUGUUUUCUCCCCAGUACGAGUCGAAUGAGCUUCCCCUGUCGCUUCAGGGAGCCGCCGCAUCACCAAAUCAGGAGGACCUUCGCCCUUGGGUCGGUCUCGGUCGCGUCCCGGGGUAGGAGACAGACGCCUGCGAGGUGUACGUGCCUCGCACGGAGUCCUGCGGGUGUCGUGAGUGUCGGUCCGCGAGGAGGGGAGAAGGGUUUGUUUCUCGCGGAGAGAUCUCUGUCCUGCAACAACCCCCGGGGCAGAAGCGCUUGCGGAGGGAUCCCCGGGGCCGCUUGUCUCCCAGAGGUCCCGGCAGGUCGGGCUGAGCGGGAUUUAAGACGGCUGGCAGCGGGGUGGUGGCCGGGAUCUCCUUCCCCACCGCCGACAGGCGAAGCGGGGUCUUUGGAGCGGCCCCUGCACGUGCGUCCGCACUAACCCCGAGGGCGGGCCUGCCCGGGAAACCGCGAGAAAUGGGAGGCGCGCACCUUGCGGGCGCCCGGCUCCUCCCCGCGACUCCGAGCCGGGACGCGUCUGCGCCUCCGUGCGGGUGGCCCUGGGAGGCCGAGCCCGGCCUGCGCCCCCGCCCGCCCCGCGCCCGAGGCCGGGGCCGGGGCCGGGGCCGGGGCCGCGCCGGAACGCGGGGCGCGGUGAGUGGGGGCGGGGCGCCGCCGCUGGGGGCCGGGGCCGGCCCGGGAGCCCUUCCCUGUCUCCUUCAGCCCGGGGCCGCGCGCGCCCUCGGCGCCCUCCCGGCCGGUCGGCGACGACAGGUCCAGCCCCGGGACGCCGCCUCCGCCCGCGACGGCCGCGACGUUGGUGCCUUCUCCCCUCUUCCCCCGGGGAGGCCGCGCGGGCCGGGCAUCGCGGUCCCCGGGAGCGUGGCGACGGCGGGGCGGCCCCACGGCUGGGCGCGCGCCGUCCCCCUCCAGGGCGCACCCCAACCCCGACGGGCCCGGCGCCCGCAGCGCCCCCGCCCCGAGGCCCGCGCAGGCCGGCCCCGCCCCCAGCGCCGCGCCGGGCCACCUGGCCUUCCGUGCAGGUGCGGGGAGGCCGGCGCCCACCCGCCCGGGGCGAGCCCACUCCGGGGGCUCUGGGGCCGCCGGCCGCGUCUCCCGCCCCGGGGCCGGCCGGUGCGCGCGGGAGGAGGACCUAGAAGCGGACUCUGCCUGGGCUUGCCUGGGCUUGUUCAGAGCCGGGCUGCUUCCCUCGGCGACCACGCGGAUCCGGGGGGAUUUCGGGAUCUUGCGGGAGCCCUGCAGCCCGGCGCCGGCGAGGAGGGCGCUGGAAGCCCGCGGCCCUGCUCGCCCCGGGCCUCGGCGUCCACGGCCGGCGCAGGGAAGGCACAAGUGGAUCCUGAAAUUCAGGAGAAACGGAGGUGCUGCCUGCCCUUCUGGGAAUGCUGAUUCCCCUCGACCCAGACUGACAAUAAUUGUUAAGGUUAAAACAUCCGA